rnacentral:lncRNA from 1 species
UAUGUGAGAAUUGAUUUCAUAUCUACGUUUCUAUCUAAGUUUGGGGUUGCUGUUGGUAUAGCAACCUUUAAGUUUGGGGUAGCUUUGCAGUACAUGAAUAGUAUGUGAAUGUCGUAUAAAAAAAAAGAAAAAAAAAAGAAAAAAAAAUAAUGAUAAAAAGAAAGAAAGAGAAAAGCGAAGAGCAGCUUUUGAAAGAUGCUACAUUCACUAGAAAUAAAAGGAAAAGAGGAUUGCAUAACCCUACAGGAAUAAUAACAAAGAAACGUAGUAAGAGAAUGAUUUCAUGUACUCUGAACCAAAAAAUAAAUAAAUAAA